UUACCCGCSCCUGGACCGNGUAUAAGUCUCCUUGGAAUGGAGCGUCAUAGAGGGUGAGAAUCCCGUCUUUGACACGGACUACCAGGGCAUUGUGGUGCGCUCUCGAAGAGUCGCGUUGUUUGGGAAUGCAGCGCUAAAUGGGUGGUAAAUUCCAUCUAAAGCUAAAUAUUGGCGAGAGACCGAUAGCGAACAAGUACCGUGAGGGAAAGAUGAAAAGAACUUUGGAAAGAGAGUUAAACAGUACGUGAAAUUGCUGAAAGGGAAACGCUUGAAGUCAGUCGCGUUGACCGGGGAUCAGCCUUGCUUCUGUGAGGUGUACUUCCUUGGUUUGACGGGUCAGCAUCAGUUUCGAUCAUUGGAAAAGGGCUUGGGGAAAUGUGGCACCUUCGGGUGUGUUAUAGCCCCUUGUCGUAUACAGUGGUUGGGACUGAGGAACUCAGCACGCCGAAAGGCCGGGUUUCGACCACGUUCGUGCUUAGGAUGCUGGCAAAAUGGCUUUAAGCGACCCGUCUUGAAACACGGACCAAGGAGUCUAACAUGCUUGCGAGUGUUUGGGUGGAAAACCCGAGCGCGUAAUGAAAGUGAAAGUUGGGAUCUCUGUCGUGGAGAGCACCGACGCCCGGACCUGAUGUUUACUGACGGAUCUGCGGUAGAGCMCGUAUGUUGGGACCCGAAAGAUGGUGAMCUAUGCCUGAAUAGG
rnacentral:rRNA from 1 species